rnacentral:rRNA from 1 species
GUAGUCUCGCACAGAUGCAUAUCAAUAAGCGGAGGAAAAGAAACUAACAAGGAUUCCCCUAGUAACGGCGAGUGAAGCGGGAAGAGCUCAAAUUUGAAAUCUUAAAGGGUUUCCCUUUACGAAUUGUAGUUUAAAGAAGUGUUUUCUGUUGAGGUUUUGGUAAAAGUUCUUUGGAAUAGGACAUCAUAGAGGGUGAGAAUCCCGUAUUUGACCUUUACUUUCAACUUUGUGAUACACUUUCAAAGAGUCGGAUUGUUUGGGAAUGCAGUCCAAAAUGGGUGGUAAAUUUCAUCUAAAGCUAAAUAUUGGCGAGAGACCGAUAGCGAACAAGUACCGUGAGGGAAAGAUGAAAAGAACUUUGAAAAGAGAGUUAAACAGUACGUGAAAUUGUCAAAAGGGAAGCGUUUGACACCAGUGUUGUUUUUCUGAAAAUCAAUUAAAGAACUGUUUAUGCUAAGCUGUUUAGACUUUAUCAGCUAUCUGUUUAGUUUUGAGCUUUUCUUAAUGCACUUUUCAGUUAACAAGUCAACAUCAAUUUCUUUUGCUGUAAAAAAGCUUGAGGAAGGUGGCUUGAGAUUCGUCUUAAGUGUUUAUAGCCUCUUGCCUAUGCAGUCGGAGAGAUUGAGGUCUGCAGCGUAGAUCCUUCGGGGCUAAAUGCAUUUGUGCUAAGUUAUAGCAUUUUAUAGACAACUUGUUGACUAUGAUUUGUCUUGUAGCUUACUCGCUUAUGUUAUUUUACCUACGCUUAGGAUGUUGAAGACUCUACAGAGAUA